GCUUUCUCAGCAGUGUCUCCUUGAUAGGGUAUAAUAUUUUAUUGAAUUAUUGUUUUUGGCUGGAGUGCAUUGGUGCAGUCAUGGCUCACUGCAGCCUCCGCCUCCCUGGUUGCAGGUGAUACUCCCACCUCAGCCUCCCGAAUAUCUGGGACUAUAGGUGCAUGCCACCAUGCUGAGUUAAUUUUUGUAUUUUUUUGUGGAGAUGAGUUUUUGCCAUGUUGCCCAGGCUGGUAUCGAACUCCUGGACUCAAGCUAUCUGCCCUCUUUGGCCUCCCAAAGUGCUGGGAUUAUAGGCAUGAGCCACCAAACCUGGCCAUGUGAUUGUUUUUUUGUAACUGUAACCUCAGGAGAUGAAUCCGAUCUAUCUUUAGGGAGAUAAAGAGUAAUCAUCCCUUCCUUUUUUUACUGUAUAAAAGGUUACAAAAUAUAAUUUCAGACUUGUAG
rnacentral:lncRNA from 1 species